UACGUAGGUGGCAAGCGUUAUCCGGAUUUACUGGGUGUAAAGGGCGUGUAGGCGGGGAAGCAAGUCAGAUGUGAAAACCACGGGCUCAACCUGUGGCCUGCAUUUGAAACUGUUUUUCUUGAGUGCUGGAGAGGCAAUCGGAAUUCCGUGUGUAGCGGUGAAAUGCGUAGAUAUACGGAGGAACACCAGUGGCGAAGGCGGAUUGUUGGACAGUAACUGACGCUGAGGCGCGAAAGCGUGGGGAGCAAACAGG
rnacentral:rRNA from 1 species